UUUUUUAACCAUGUUAGAAGUUGUUCUCAACUAUUGAUUAUACCUUCAUCACUCUGUGGGGUCUUAACAUUUGGUGUAAUAUGUUAAUGCCGCAACCUUUUUUUGAGACAGAUUCUUUUUCUAUCACCCAGCUGCAGUGCAGUGGCAUGAUCUUGGCUUACUGCAACCUCUGCCUCCUGGGUUCUAGCGAUUCUCCUGCCUCAGCCUCCCAAGUAGCUGGGAUUACAGGCGUCUGCCACUAUGCCCGGCUAAGUAGAGAAGGGGGUUUCACCAUGUUGGCCAGGCUGGUCUCGAACUCCUGAACCUCAAGUGAUCUGCCCACUUCGGCCUCCCAAAGUGGUGGGAUUACAGGCGUGAGCCACCGUGCCUGGCCUUGAUGCCUCAGUGUUAAUGAGGUAGACCUUGUUCAGUGCCUUGUUCCAAACCUAGCAGAAUGAAUCUUGAUAAAGCACAGAUAUAAUAGGGUUUAAGGGCAAGAAGGAGUUUGGGUGGAUGUGGCGAUAACGAGCCUUGGAGGAAGGGGGAAGAAAUCACAGGUCUCUUGUCAUUUUUCCUUUUAGCUUGUCAUCUCUAGAGAAUGCUGUAUUAGGGUCGGUCUGUUUGGAAAGUAUCUGUUUCCUAGUAUUCUUAAGUCAUUUCAGGUUUCAAAGGGAAACAGGUUGGCAUAUAGUGGUAUUCAGUACUUGCGGCUCUUCUUCCCAGGCAUCUGAAGAAGAACGAUGGUGGGGCGGGUUCUUCCUUAUAGCAGAAGUUGUGUGGACACAGCAUACUGCUUAUGAGACUUGGGUAAAUGUUAGUGUGCAGAAUAAAUCACUUUCAUGAUUUGUCUCUUUAUUCUCAGACAGAAGCAUUAAAAUGCGUGGCUCAGGCUAGCAAGAACAGAUCACUGGCAGAUUUUGAAAAAGCUCUGACAGAUUACCGGGCAGAGCUCCGGGAUGACCCAAUCAUCAGCACACACUUGGCCAAGUUGUAUGAUAACUUACUGGAACAGAAUCUGAUCCGAGUCAUUGAGCCUUUUUCCAGAGUACAGGUGAGAACCCUCUGGGGACUCCAUUUCUGGCCAGGUAUUCUCACUGUAGCCACCUCCCUUCCACACCUGUCCAGAAUGGGAACUCACUUCUAGGGGUGUGCCUGGUGGGCAAGAGGCCACCAAGAGCUUGUGCCUCUGUUGAUAAAAUGAACAAAAAUCGAGGAGAGAGGUGCUGUGGGUAGAGGCAUGUGUGUUGCCCCUGCACGUGUUCUGAGCAGUUUCCUCCUCACUUUUAGUCACUGCAUGUGUUGUACCUGUUUUCUGUAUUGGGUGUGUGGGAUAAGAGUCUGUUUAUUGUGUGUAGCAGUGAAGGGCAGGCAGAUGGGCAAAGAACAAGAGACUUAAGCACGGCCAAGGAGGGUCUUACAUUAGAAUUUUGAGAAAUACAGCAGUUCUCCCCGUUCCCUCCCUUCUCUUAUUGGAGGCAAAAGUAAAACUUUCAGUGUUGGUGUCUCUCUGCCUUUCCUUUUAGAUUGAACACAUAUCUAGUCUCAUCAAACUCUCCAAGGUAAGGAGUCUUAAGGCCAUCUGCAGGGAAGAAUGGGAAGGGGUGGUGAGGAGGGGUGGCACAUGCACCUGAUUGGCCUCAUUGGAAAGCUCCCCAGCUUCUCAGUGGGGAAUGGGCAGUGUGGGCUAGAGUAGGAGUUGCAUUGUUGCUAUUUUGUUUUCAGUCCAUUUGGCCUAAGACCCCUCCAACAAAGCUGUUGUGUCAGGGUGAUCUCUGACUAGUGGAUACUGGUCCCUUUAAUCAUGUGCUUUGAUUUUAGGCCGACGUGGAAAGGAAAUUAUCACAGAUGAUUCUUGACAAGAAAUUUCACGGGAUUUUGGACCAGGGGGAGGGUGUCCUGAUUAUUUUCGAUGAACCCCCAGUAGAUAAAACUUAUGAAGCUGCUCUGGAAACAAUUCAGAACAUGAGCAAAGUAGUGGAUUCCCUCUACAACAAAGCCAAGAAACUGACAUAGGUGAGUGCUGGCUUCAGGACCCCAGGGCUGGGCAGCUCUGUCUUCUGCGUGUCGAGACUGAAAACCUCCUCCUGGUGUCCUCAUGGCUUCCUGAUUGACACUGCUCUGUCUUCUCUUGCAGAGUUGGAUCUGUAGCGGUCCUUUGGAGAGUGUGUGUGGCGGGAGAGUGAAACCUUGGGGGAAAAUGCUAGGAGAUUCUUUUUUCUUUUUGUUCUACUUUUCGCUCGGAAAGUUUUUAAAUCCUCAUUUGGUGCAUCUGUAUUCCAGCCAAUAGGUGUGCCAGUUUUCAUGUAAUCUUUACUGGCCCAACUUGGGAGUGGGGAAAUUGCUUAAAAAAAAAGAAAAAGAAAAAAAAAAGAUUAUUCUAAAUAAAAGGAAAAAGGCUUACACUA
rnacentral:sRNA from 1 species